CCAGGAUUUGUGAUACAUUAUUUGCCUUCAUUACACUGGAAUUUCGCCAGUGGCCUGCUCCUGCUAAGGAGACCUGUCCUAGAACCUGACAUGAUGCAAAACAAGUGAAAAUGCUCCCAGAUGAAACCUAAAGAACUUUGUAAUCCAUUUUGAGAGCCAAAUUGCUAAAUUGUGUUUUGUAGUUUUUUAAAUCUAAUUUGGAUGGGACGCCCCAUUUCUUUAUUGUCUUGGUGGGG